GACGAACGCUGGCGGCGUGCUUAACACAUGCAAGUCGAACGGAAAGGCCCUGCUUUUGUGGGGUGCUCGAGUGGCGAACGGGUGAGUAACACGUGAGUAACCUGCCCUUGACUUUGGGAUAACUUCAGGAAACUGGGGAUAAUACCGGAUAGAAGAGCCGGCUGCAUGGUGGGGUUUGGAAAGUUUCGGCGGUUGGGGAUGGCCUCGCGGCUUAUCAGCUUGUUGGUGGGGUGGUGGCUUACCAAGGCUUUGACGGGUAGCCGGCCUGAGAGGGUGACCGGCCACAUUGGGACUGAGAUACGGCCCAGACUCCUACGGGAGGCAGCAGUGGGGAAUAUUGCACAAUGGGCGGAAGCCUGAUGCAGCAACGCCGCGUGCGGGAUGACGGCCGUCGGGUUGUAAACCGCUUUCGCCUGUGACGAAGCGUGAGUGACGGUAAUGGGUAAAGAAGCACCGGCUAACUACGUG
rnacentral:rRNA from 1 species